AACUUUCAGCAACGGAUCACUUGGCUCUCGCAUCGAUGAAGAACGCAGCGAAAUGCGAUAAGUAAUGAGAAUUGCAGAUUUUCAGUGAAUCAUCGAAUCUUUGAACGCACCUUGCGCUCCUUGGUAUUCCGAGGAGCAUGCCUGUUUGAGUGUCAUUAAAUUCUCAACCCCACCGAUUUGUUUUGGGGGGAUUGGACUUGGAGCGUGCUGGCGAAGGUCGGCUCCUCUUUAAAUGCAUCAGUGGAGAGAAACCUGCCCCAGUGUGAUAAUCCUGUUGCGCUGUGGUGGGCGAAAGUCCGCUUCCAACCGUCCUCCGGGACAUACGCCAUCUUUAUUUUGACCUCAAAUCAGGUAGGACUACCCGCUGAACUUAAGCAUAUCAAUAAGCGGAGGCU
rnacentral:misc_RNA from 1 species